UUGCCCUGAACUUUGUAAAAAAGAUGUUUUGCUUUUGCUUUAGUUUCUUGAUCAUGAUAAAUAGCACAGGUUUAGUGUCCAUCUCUGAUUUCUUUCUUUUUUUCCGUCCAGUUGUGCAAAAUUUCACGCAACCUUUUUAAUUUCCUCCUGUAAUUUUCUCCUAUCAAGAGAAAUGAAAAAAUUGUAAUUAGAGACACAAGUUUUCGUUUAUAUCAAUAGUAGUAAUAGACAACACCAAUAUCCACUUUUGCAGGCAAUAAAGUUGAUGGUCUUAGGCUGCAUUCAUAUGGCAGGAUAUAUAGCCGCGAAUCUUAGUUGUUGUCAAGCUUUUGUAGUAUUUGGUUUAUCAGCGAGCAGACAUCCAUGGCCCAUGCCACAAUAACUUCAGGCCACUCAAGCUCUAAUAGUCUAUUUGACCCCCCUCCCCCUUCUUUUUUCUCUUUUACGACGUCCUCCGUUUCAAUUUAUGUGAUAUAAUUUGACUAAACAUGAAGUUUAAGAAAGAAAGAAAGACUUUUGAAACUUGUGAUCUAAAACGAGUCAUAAAGAUUUGUGUGGCUGCAAAUCAUUUCAUUAAGGAUAAAAGGAAAAGUUUUCAGUUAGAUUAUUUUUUAAAUAUAAAAAUAUAUCAUUCUUAACGUAUCAUUCUUUUGUGGACAGACUAAAAAAAAAAUGUAUCAUAUAAAUUGGAACAGAGCAAAACUACUUGUUCUUGGUCCAGUAAGCUUCGAACUGUUAAUAGUUUCCAUUCGGGCUUGUACUUACCUUUGUUCCCUUUUUAGAGAUAAUUCGAGGAGGCCACAUUUACUGGAACUGAUCGACCAUGAAAUUGAUUUCCAUUUAAUUAUGUGUGCUAUUCGAUAGGCACUAAUCUAUACUCAUUGAUGAUUGUUACUAUAACAAACACUGCUACUGUAAAGCGUGCUUAAUCCAAAAAAUGGUAAGACAGACUCCCAAGAGCUGAGAGUUAUAAGAAGACACGCAUAUGCGUGAUAAGUCACAUUGGUCAUGUGAAAGAGACUAAUAACUCGAGAUAAGGGAUAAUACUAUAUUACUCAACUUUAUAUGUAACUAUGUUACAACAACAAAUUUCUUCUCAUGCACAGAAACGUAAAAAGUCCAGUAGCUGCUAUACAUCAGAAAAUCUCUGCUAAUUCUCUGUACAUAGAUCUAGAGCUAGUCGUGGUAUGCUACAUCAGAUAACCGAGAGACACUAAAAGACUCCAACAAUUUACCAUCAGAAAAAG